GAGUGAGAGGGAAGAGCCCAAGAUUGAAAGCUGGCGUCUUCGGCGUCCGCAUUGUAAUCUCAAGAAGUGUUUUCCGCUUCGGACCAAGCCUAAGUCCCUUGGAAAAGGGCAUCAUAGAGGGUGAUAAUCCCGUACAUGGCUUGGAGCGCCCGAAGCUUUGUGAUACGCUUUCUAAGAGUCGAGUUGUUUGGGAAUGCAGCUCAAAAUGGGUGGUAAAUGCCAUCUAAGGCUAAAUAUUGGGGAGAGACCGAUAGCGAACAAGUACAGUGAUGGAAAGAUGAAAAGAACUUUGAAAAGAGAGUUAAACAGUACGUGAAAUUGCCAAAAGGGAAGGGUAGGAGGUCAGAGAUGCGGCCUGGGAUUCAGCCUUGCUUUUGCUUGGUGUUUUUCCCAGAUUGCAGGCCAACGUCGGUUUUGGGCACUGGAGAAGGGUAGGAGGAACGUGGCACCUCUCGGGGUGUGUUAUAGCCUCCUACUGGAUACAGCGACCGAGACCGAGGACAGCAGCGUACUCGCAAGAGCGGGCCUUCGGGCACCUUUACGCUUAGGGCGUUGGCAUAAUGGCCCUCUACCACCCGUCUUG
rnacentral:rRNA from 1 species